UUUUCGCACAGAAGGAGAGGCAAGGCAGUAUGCACUAAAGGCAGAAGCCCAACGCCAAGAAGAUGAGUUCA
rnacentral:tRNA from 1 species